GUAGUCAUAUGCUUGUCUCAAAGAUUAAGCCAUGCAUGUCUAAGUAUAAGCAAUUAUACCGCGAAACUGCGAAUGGCUCAUUAUAUAAGUUAUCGUUUAUUUGAUAAUACUUUACUACUUGGAUAACCGUGGUAAUUCUAGAGCUAAUACAUGCUGAAAAUCCCGACUUCGGAAGGGAUGUAUUUAUUAGAUUAAAAACCAAUGCCCCUCGGGGCUCUCUGGUGAAUCAUAAUAACUAGUCGAAUCGACAGGCCUUGUGCCGGCGAUGGCUCAUUCAAAUUUCUUCCCUAUCAACUUUCGAUGUUUGGGUAUUGGCCAAACAUGGUGGCACAACGGGUAACGGGGAAU
rnacentral:rRNA from 1 species